GCUGCUGGGGGACGGGGACCCGGGGCUGGCGCAGGGGGACGGGCCGUGUCCCCAGGCUGCCCUUGGCCGAGCUCUGCCCUUGUGGAAAGUCGGGGCGCAUCAGCGUGAGCAUCCCGGACGACCCCGGUAUCGGAGAGCUCGAUGCUUCCUCCUGGAGUGGUGGCUGAUGGACCAGGGUGCAGAGGGCUGCGGGCAGGAGGCAGAGGGUGAACCAGCCUGGCCAGAGCUAUAAACCCAACCUAUAAUCCUUUGCCUUUGAGGAUAUGGUGUCUCCUGAGCUGUGUCCUGGCUCAAGACAACUGGAAAAAUGGAGCAACCACCUCCCCAGGGUCCCCUGGCUGCAGUGAGCACAACCAGCGUCAUCUCACAGGUUUUUAAGUCAGGAGGACGGGACCUGACCCGGUGCCCGC